ensembl:lncRNA
CACUGCAACCUGUAUGCUCUCUUUGGCUGGCACUCGCUUCAUAUUCGUCCUGCCCUCGCCCCUCCAAUCUGUUUCCCUCUGGCAGGCAGAGCCCUCGCCCCUCCAUACUCUUUCCCUCUGGCAGGAAGAGCCCUCACCCCUCCACUCUGUUUCCCUCUGGCAGGAAGAGCCCUCGCCACUCCAAUCUGUUUCCCUCUGGCAGGAAGAGCCCUCGCCCCUCCACUCUGUUUCCUUCUGUCAGGCAGAGCCCUCGCCCCUCCGCUCUGUUUCCCUCUGUCAGGCAGAGCCCUCAACCCUCCAAUCUGUUUCCCUCUGGCAGGCAGAGCCCUCGCCCUGCCCCUCUGUUUCCCUCUGGUAGGCAGAGCCCUCGCUCCUCCAAUCUGUUUCCC